rnacentral:lncRNA from 1 species
AUGCUACUCCUUCACCGAUCGGUUAACUGGGUUCAGAAGGAAAAAAUUUUAGAGGGUAGGCAUCUUGAUGUUCAGGUCUGGUUGCUGCGGACGUCUCGGAGCGGGUUUCACCUCGGUCAGCUCAGUGUCAGGAUCAGUCCAGAUUAUUGUGAAAAGGAUGAGCUGGCGUGUGUCAUCGUUGCAGUGGCAUGUGCCCGGCCGGAUGUGAUAAGCGGUGCGUCCGAACGGCGGCGGCGCUUCGAAGGAAUGUGGAGUGAUAGCCGAGUUUGCUGAGUUGCUGUUGUUCGUCAUGCAAAUCAGAAUUAAAAAUGUGAUAUUCGGUAAGUAAAAAUUAUACUUUAAAGAAAAUUAAUGAACAUGGAGAAUUGAACGAUAAUUUCCACUCGAAAAGACGUAGCUCUGUUCGACUUUGAAAAGCAUAUGUACAAUUCAAUG